AUUGAACGCUGGCGGCAGGCUUAACACAUGCAAGUCGAGCGGGGAAGGGUAGCUUGCUACCUAACCUAGCGGCGGACGGGUGAGUAAUGCUUAGGAAUCUGCCAUUUAGUGGGGGACAACAUUCCGAAAGGAAUGCUAAUACCGCGUACGUCCUACGGGAGAAAGCAGGGGAUCUUCGGACCUUGUGCUAAAUGAUGAGCCUAAGUCGGAUUAGCUAGUUGGUGGGGUAAAGGCCUACCAAGGCGACGAUCUGUAGCGGGUCUGAGAGGAUGGUCCGCCACACUGGGACUGAGACACGGCCCAGACUCCGACGGGAGGCAGCAGUGGGGAAUUUUGGACAAUGGGGGCAACCCUGAUCCAGCCAUGCCGCGGGAGUGAAGAAGGCCGUCGGGUUGUAAAGCUCUUUCGGAGGGGAAGAAACGGUUACGGCCAAUACCCGUGACUAAUGACGGUACCCUAAGAAGAAGCACCGGCUAACUACGUGCCAGCCGCCGCCGUAAAAC
rnacentral:rRNA from 1 species